UUAAAUGAGAUUUUAUACAAUUUAAAAUAUUUCUUCUAUUUAGGUAUUUUAAAAAUCUUUUUAGCAAGUUAAAGUCUAAGGCAGUGUCCCCACAUGUAGGCAGGUGCAAUUUGUGGCACCACAAGCUGCACAUGUGGAACAUUUAAAAUGUGCCCUGCACUGCAAAUUUUCAGCGCAGGGGCAAAAUUUGCUACCAGGAUUUCCUGGUAGCAAAAGAAAAAAAAAGGGGGGGGCAGGAGGAGAAGCGACGUGGCGUAUGCUGUAGUAGCAUGCACCAGAACAAAUGGAGGCUUGGUGCUUCAAGAGGAUGCUCUGGCUGCUGGCCAGACCCUCUCCACUCUUCCAUUUUUGCCCCAGCUGCUCCAGUCCGCCAGGAGGAGUUGGGCAAGGGCAGUUUGCCCAAAGUGGGACACAGUGUCUCACAACAAAGUGCACGGGCAGGGGCGUAUGCAGCAGCUACUAUUUGUACAUGCCUACACAUCUGGAUGCAGCUUAAGGUUAUAAAGUGUUAAAAUGCAAAAGCUUAUUUGAUUUACUCAUAUACUGUAAUUUGGACAGUAAAGCAGUGUUUAGGCAUUUCUUGGUUGUUGCAAGUGGAAACGUCAGGGACAUAAAUGAAGAAUCCCCAAAGUCAGGAAAGGCUGAUUAACUUGAGAUUUGAGAAGCUGAACAUUUCAUGAGAAUGAUGCACGUUGGAUACUGCUGAUCAACUGACACUUAAAUGGUGUUUCCCAAACGCAGAACUCUUCAACACUACUGCUUUCGAGGUCAUUUAAAUAUUACAGGUUAUUUGUAAAUCAUCAUAGUCACCUGGUUCAUACAUGCUUCAUAGACCUUGCCAUGUUUUUACUUUAUAAUUCAUGUUUAGAUCAUAAUGAUAAAAAUUAUGUGAUAUGAAUGGCUUUCCACUAAACAGAACAGGGCCGGAGCAGAGCUCAGUUGUUCGCUCAUGACAAACUGUUGCAUGAAUAAUUUACAUUACUAUUAUAUCUUCCAUCCUGAAGGAUUCCUCUGCUUCAUCAGCAUACUAUGAGGGAUGAUUAAAUUGUUUGGAGACCUGUAUGAGCUAUUGUGAAAACCUUUGGCAACUCAUUUAGUAUCUUCAGGACAUUAAUGGAAAUGUGACAUUCAUUAAUUCACAAUGAUAAAUGACCAUGUCAAGAUUAAAGCUCACCAAAAGGACAGUUUCCACAACUUGUAACUGGAGCAACUUGAACUCCUCUGACGGGGAUGGAGUGUGGCACGCUAAAUAAUGUCGUAUUAAGUUGCGUUUAAUGUUCCUUUCAUAUUUCUACCUUUAAUGCACCAUCGUCCGAUUCUGUGUUGAAUGUGUCAUGCUCUACAUCAGCUAAGGACUUUUCUUUUGUAGGUUGAUUUAAUUGAAUGAGCUGAAAGAUUCAUUAGUGUGUAUUUAGGAUUUGUUUCUUGCAUUGGAACAAAGUUUCAUAAAUAUUUUCCCAGUAUCAGUCACAAAAUGUGGUAACACUUCCCACUUCUUAGCCGAAAAAGAUACGCUUAUAUAUAUGGUGUUUUUAUAAAAGGUUUUAAAAUGUUUACAGCUUGCUCAACUUCAAAUUAAUGGAUUCUAAGUGUGGGGGGGAAUAUCCUAUAGUCCUUACCACUGUUGUCAAAGCUAUUUUCAGCCUUUAAAGGGAUUCACUUGCUAGUGACUUGGCAAUGUCAAACAAAUGUUCAACUUUUAUUCUGACACUUCUUGAAGAAUUUGAUUGAAACUAUAUAUGUCUAGAUAACAUCCAACAAAGUGCCCCUCUUGCGUUUGUUUCAAGAUAUUUUUGGAAACAACAGAGUCGACCUUGGAUGGAGCUGCUUUUCCAAUUUAGGACUUCAGUUGGUCUAAGUGAACAGUUCUGUUCUUCAAGCAUAUUGUAUAGUCACAAGUAGCAAAAUGGUUUUGUUAAUAUAUGUUAUGGCAGAUUUGUUUUUCUGCAAUAUGUGCUCUGCUAAUGGCACUGUUCUGUUUAGGAAAAGAACAUUAUUAGAUAUUUAACAAUUUGCUCCUAUUUAUAAAUGGCUGGCUAGUGCACAUUUCCUUUUCAUCUGAAAAUCUUUGGGUAAUUUCAGUUACAUGAUGCUUGUUUAUUUAAUAUUUUAGUUUCUUUAAAACUAAUAUUAAGAAGUGGGAACUUUCCUUUGUCUCUGCUUACUGACAUAGAGUCUUGUUUUCCAGCCAGGGCUCUCACAGACUUGAUGUAAAGUCUAAAUGAGGACAGUGGUAAUGCUGGCAAAUGCUAUGUGAUGGGAUUGCCACCUGUCCAGAUCAUCGGAGAAAUACUGCUUGUCAAGCUUCAAGUUUAAAAACCAAGGUUAAGUGCCAGGUCCUGUGUACAUCUAGUCUGGGGCAGAUCACUUUCUUUUCUGGCCUCAGUUUGCCAGUUUUGCAAUUGUGUCUGUAAAUCUUGAUUGAAUCCAAUCAAUUCAGAGAUUUAAGUGUUUUGCACUUAAUUUUAUAUCCGGUCAAUACAUUUUCAUUUAUUUGUUGGUGUCUUUGCAGCUGUAAUGCAGUCUGUUAUGAAGCAGAAUUACCUUACUGCAAUGAUAAUGCAGUUUCAUUGUUGUCAAUGUUAACAGAAAUGACAGAGUAUCAUUUAUCCUGUAGAAUAUUUAAUCUCUGCAAUCAUAAUUUUGUUUGCUUAAUUUACUUGGCCAGUACAAGUUUAUAACCUGGAAACUAGAUCUAGCUGUGUUGCCAGAAUACACCUUGGCAGCGCAGUAACGAGCAUAGUUGGUAUAUGCAAAGAGAAAGGUAGUAUCUACUCACGUUUUUUAAAAGGGAACUAGACCCAACCUCCUUUUUUGCAGGCAUAGGUUUAUGACCACCUUACGUACUUACAGUGACUGGGGAAUCAAUUGUUGGCAUUUAAAAGUCUAAUUCUGGUUUGAAGGGAAAAAAUCAAGUACAUUACGGUUGUACAGAGAAACACUAGCAAAAAUUAAUAAGACCUGUAAGCUUGGCAGCUACUUUUAAAAAUAAAGUUGUUUCUAUGCAUAGCCCACUGCACAGGGCAGUACCUCUCAUAAUAGGAUUUCCAGGCUCUUUAGAAGUUUCCAUUAAUAAAGCCUUUCAACAAUCCUGUCAGAUAAUAAUCUCUAUUUAGCUAUCCAUAUUUUGUUCUUAUUGUCUCUCUUAAUAGAUGGGUAAAUGCAGGGAUAUAAAGGUUAAAUAAUUUACCCAGCUCUGCAUGAUGAGCAACUUCUAGACUUCUUUUCUGAUCUCCACUUCAUCUGCCACUCCACAAAGAGUAAGUAACUGUAAAUAAUUAGUCAUGAUCUGUAGAUACAUGGCAUGAUCAUUUGUUAAAAUCUAGGAAGGGAGAGUGAUUACCAGCAUUAACAUCAAAUCAGUUUUUAAUAAAGUUGUGACUAAAUCAGUAAUUCUCAUCCAGGGUGCCAGACCACCUAGGGGUGCCACAAGAUCCUUUGAAGGGUCCCCCACCACGUAUGAAGAGAUAAGUAGGUAAGUACAGGCUCAGGUUCUUCUCUCCCUGGCCAGUGUCCCACCUCUACUGCCCGGCCCCUCUGCAGUGAGGUAAGCACUGUAAUGAGUUAGUUUUUGAAAUGGGGUGCCACUCACUUCACAAAAGUUAUGGAGCGGUGUCUUGAGAGUCUAAUGAGAGGUGCCUUGAGUCUAUCAAGGGAGCCUCAAAUCUGAAAAUGUUGAGAACCGCUAGAUUAAAUUGUAGCAUUUGUGGAAGGCUCUUUAAGGAUCCGAACCACCACUAAUGACAAGUAUAUUGGAGGUCUUCAUUCAUUUUUAUGCCAGACUUAGGACAAGUUCCUUACAAAUUUAGCCAAUCCUUGUUCAUAGCAACGUUCCUAAUGAAGUUAAAAAAAAAACAACCCUGCAGGCCGGAUUCGCACUUACACUUAAAGCGCUUAUACUUGCAGAUGGAGUGGUGCUCUAUGAGGAGGAUCUCUGUCUAGGAGAGAGAAUUCUAAAAUUACAGCUGUCAUUUGUAAAAGAUGUGUUUAAUUUUAUGGGACAGACCAUAUUCUUAAACUGUUUUAGUGGAUGUAUCAGCCUGGUGUAUAUGUCUAUUAGUCUAUUAAUGUUAAUUGGUAGCAUAGCUGAAGUGCACUAAUUAAGCAAGAGCAAAUAAAUGGUAACUACUUGCCUCUGCAGAGUCAACAGCAAGGUUUCCUUUUCCUAAAUCUUUCUUCCCUGCAUUUGACUACCGAGUGUAAUUCAGUAUUGUCUUCUAAAAUGAUAAAGGAGUGUCAGUGCAUGCCAGGGAAAACAAGAUAUUUACAUUUUUUUGGCUGAAAAACACACUUUUUUGCCAAAACCUGAAGAAGAUUGGUUUUUAAGCAAAAACCUUUUGUUUUGUUGAGCCUGCAGUGCCCAGAGUCAAUCUGCCUGCUGUGGAGUCUUCUGGAAAUAAAUCAUAAUUAGGGGUUUUUUUUUCUAUUAGCCUUUCCAUCUGGCUGUCUUUCUCCCUAGGUAUCAUGGACCGUGUCUACAUGAGGUGUGCUGUACUGGUCUUGGAAAACUGGUAUACGCUACUAAUGCCAGUGCAGUGUUACUGGUAAACCUAAGCCAUGUGCCGGUAUACUAAACUUGUGUAGACUCCUGAACAAAAGAAACUAUACUGACAAAAUCGCAGUUCUGCUACAUCAGUCAGGGAUCACACCUCCUCUCAUCCUUGACUAUCAAAGCUAUGGAAAAAGAAGUCUGAAGUGUUGACAUAGCCGCAAUUUUUUAGCUGUUUCAUCUGAAUCGCUAACAUGAGAGGUUUUGAAGGCAAAUUGGAAAACUAACAACUUUUUUAUUAAGAAGCUACACAUGAACAAGGAUAACAUUGUUUUUAAAAUUCAUUUAAAAAGCCCCAUCCUCCUCCAUCCCUCCUCCCAUAAUAGCAUAUGGAGAGAUAGCAGACUCAACUCAUAAAACAUUUGUCCAGUGCCAGAAGCAUAAUAUUAGCAAAUUAAGAUUGGAAGAUUGCCUUUGAAGGGCAGAAAAAUGAGUACCAACAUAUUGGCCUAUCCCAGCUCUCACAUCCUCUACUCCCAGCUGCUGUUAUCAGACAAGGCAUCAAGUAGACAGAUCUGAAGCAAGUUGAAAGCAUCUGAAAUUCCAAAACUCUGCAAGGGCUUUUUAUUUUCCAAAGAGCACCUUCCUCUCCAGCUCCAUGGUCUGUUCCUCGGACAGCGAAUAUGCUAAACCAAAAGACUAUCCUGGAAAAUCUGUGUUUGUCCAAGAUUUUUCACUGAUGGUGUGUCUUAGGUUUGGUUCCUCUCUCAAGGUAAUGUCCUUGGCAACCCCCUGCCAGGUUCCCAACCAAAGAAAAAAGACUGUCCCGGAUCAUUUUAUUCCAGUUUUUAUACUUAGCCCAGUCCAUUCUGAGGCAGGCUUCAGAGGUUUAGUGAGCAGUCCCACUGAUGUCCACACGAGCUGAUUUUAUGCUGGGUAUAGAAUCAGUUGUUAAGACAUUAUUUAAAUAUUGCAGUGCUCCUACUCACUCCGUAAAUGGGUGGAUUCUCCUUUCAUUUCCAUUGUGUGUUUAAUUCAGUCAACAGUAACAUCUGUAUAAGUGAGAAGAAAAUUGGGCCCCAAAAUCAUCCAUGGUCAGAUCAGAUCAUCUACUGGUGACAUAAGCAGUAUUUAGCGUGGCCUUGGCCAGCCUCCUUCACCAAUACAUUUAAUUCUUAAAAGUAACAGAGAAAGGAAAAAAUCUAAAUGUGCAACAACAAUAAUACCAUUGUACCUCUGUUUUCCUUGGCAGUUAUCUAAUUCCCUUCUAUGUUAUCCAUUUGGGAAUCUGAUUAUGACCUAGUCAAACAGAAGAGCAAUGAUAUUAUUGCUUUAAUAACUGGGGAACAAUUUUAAUGCCUUUUAUUAUGCUUUGCAGGAAAAUUCAGGUCCUGCUUGAGCCAUUUUAAAGCUAUGCAAUUCUGUCUUCAUAUUGUUUCCUACUAAGCCAACAUUCAAGGGAAUUUCUUAAAUGAAUGCACUUUUAGAAAGACAAAUAACAAAAUCAGUCCUGACGAUCAUAAGUAAUGUGACCUUGUUAUACCCACAUAUAUUUAUCUUGAUGAAUUUUUUUUUCUCACUGCGUUUGAGCGUCGUGAUGCUUUUGGAAGAAUGGAAUUUGGUAUACAGAACUCCUGGUGCUUAUUUUCCUAUUGUUACAGAAAUGUAACAAAUAACAUGUCUUUAAUAUUUCAUAUUAAGUUGUCAAUCAAAGUAAACGUUUCAGUAAUUCAUGCUGUGAUUGUGCUGUGCACAGAAAUUUCUCUACUUUAGAAUAUCUGCUGAAUUUGCAAGAUGAUUGGGAUGGCAUUUAUGAUGGUUGAAAAGGUAAGUUUUAUUGGAACAAGAGUAACAAAUAUAUAUAUUUUAAUGACAUUUUAAAUCACUUUAGUAUUAACUACAGUAGAUUGUUAAGCUAUUGAGCCACAAAAGCAGAGCCACCCAGAGGAGAGGACAGUGGGAAAUUUUAUUCCAGACUCAGCCAUUCAUUCCAGGGAGCUGAAUGCAUGACAUUUAAUCAGGUCACAAAUGCCUUUUUUAUAUCAAACUAAGUUUUUCUUUUUACAUAAAGAUCCUUCCAGUGCUAUAUUACUCCUGCUUAAAAUACAGAUACAUAGGGACAAACUCGAGUCAGUGGUUAGGGGACCUGAUGCAAGAGGCAGAACUAACCAGGUUUGGACCCUGAGCCAGAACCCUUGGGGCAGGUGGGGCAGGGGGAAGGUGCUGAGCACUAGAGAGGGGGUGGUCAGCCUUACCUGCCCUGAGAAGCCCAGCUGUUGUCUGGUGCUGUUUGCUUGCCCCUGGUUACAGCUGCUGCAGCAACUGCUACAGUUGUGUCAUGUCCCUGCACAGCACUGCUAAAGCCGUGGCUUGGGGCUGCUGCUGCUCUGAAAGAUUGCUGGUGCCCUGCUCGCCUACCAUUAAUUAUGCUGCUGACCUGAUGUAAGAACUUGUGCCAGGCCUGAACGUUUCUAUGGUUGGCAGAAAUUUUGAUUCUUAAAAUCCUUGCCGAUUGCUGUCUGUUGGGGCCAUAUCUGUGUCCAGGCUUGCUUAUACAUUGUCUUUGAGUGUCUAGACUAUUUAGCAUCCAGGAAGAAGGCGUUGAUCUGAUUGUUGUUAAUGAUGCUGAGCACAGGGGAAUGGCAGAUGUGAAAUGAUAUUUGUUUAGAAAGUGCAAAUGUGAGCAAGAGGCUGAUGUCAGCUCAGCUUGCCUAGUUUCCAGCACAGGUGCUCAGGAAAAGGCUGUUGGAAUUGCUGACUGGUAGGCAACAGGAGCAGAAUGCCUUCGAGAGGCUGAGCUGCACAGCCAAAAGGUACAGGAUUGCAGGGAGGGGUUCAGUUUCCUCAUGCCUUGUUCUGUUUUCUUGAUGUAGAAAACAGGCUUGGAGGAAAAUAACUUACUGAAUACAAAUGUGCAUUUUUCUGUGCCAAGUCAUUCAGUUAGACUACAAACAGACAUCACAGUUGUCCUAGGAUAGACCAUUUUAUCCAGGAACAAAGCACGGUUGUUCAGUUGUCCAUGAUAGUUGUCCCAGGAUUAAUCCUAAAAAGGUUCAUGGGAUAAGAAGUACUAACAGUUUAUCUCAGGGCAUCACAAAGUGCAUCUGAAAGGUUAUCCCAGGAUUGCAUCGUUGAAUCAGUGGUAGAAGAGCUGCUCACUAACCCCUGAUUAGAGGGGCGAUGUGUGAACACCCCAAACCUGGGACAUUUCUGUUCCAUGACAGACAUGAGCAGGAACUUGUCCAGGGACAAGUGCAGUGUCUGUUCCUAGCUUCAGUUUAUGUAGGGCAAAAACCUACAUUUGCUUAAACCCCAAGGGCAAGAUCUCCUGCCCUGUGGAGAAGCUGAUUUUAAUUCAGACCUGUUUUUACUUAAGUAAUCUUCCAGCAUGUCUGACCUUUGUCCUUUCCCUGUGGAAAAGCAUGGUCUUAGAGCUACCCAGUGGGAAGUUUCUGGGUACCUUUCCUUCCUUCCUUUUCCUGACGGAAACCUGAUCAGUUUUUGGAGAAAUAAACAGAGUCUUCUCCAAAUGAUUAACUGCAGUGGGAAGGAAAAUGAGCAAUUUGCAGAGGAAAUGGUCCUGGAGCAAUUUGCAUGCAAAGAGGGAAAAAAGGUCAUUUGAAUUUACACGUUCAUGCUGUGUUGGCACAGUGUUAUUAACAGUCGCAGGUGAAAACCAAAAUGAAGUCUGGUUGUGACUGCCAGAGUUGGAGUGGUUUGCUGGGAUGCUCCAGCAACUGCCAGCGGGUUUCCUUCUUCAGAAGAGGCAGGUCAAAGCUCUGGCAUGGAAAGGUUUGCAGCCAUGACCUUGGUAGGGGGAAUUUGGCUUAGCAAGUGCCCAGUUACACAUUCCAUGUCACAAGCAAUCACCACCAAGGUGUUUGGGCUUUUUGAUGGGACAAUUUCUGUGAGAACCACACUUCUCUGGUCCCUUCUAUCCAUAAGCCUGGGAAUUGCACCUGGCACUUGGCAGCAGUUGACACCCCUGGCUUUUGACAGAAGUAGUCUCUUAUGAACUAGCAGAAAAACUGGAAUCAGCCAAGCAGGCCAGUUGCCAGAGAUACUUAGAUUGUCCUUGUUCUCAUCAACUAACUGCUUCAUUGGAGAAAAUGACUACAAGGAAAUUAAAACAGUGGGCAGUUUGUUCUGAUAAGGUACAACUUCCCUUAUACAAUGUAAUCAGCAGCACAAUCAACUUGUGUCCUUUUCCAUGCAGAGAGUGCUCCUCCAGACAGCCACCCAGCAGAAUUUGCCAAGAUAACCAGACUGUUACACUGGUAUAACUCCUUGGGUAAACAUGCUUAUUUUGCAACCCUUGGUGAUUUACACCACUACAGCUACAAUGGUGUAAUUAAACUAGUAUAAAUACACUGGUAACUUUUUCAUGUAGAUAAGCCCUUCAACUCAAUUGGCUGUGGGAGAAAUACAGCGAAUGUCCCUCAAAUUUGAACACUGUUAGCAGAGGGAGUCUCUGGGCAGAGGACUGUGGUUGGAGAGGAACAAAGUCCACAAAGGAAUUACUUCAGUUGCCAAUCAAGCUAGUAAUUGGGAGAGUCUGUAUCAGUUCAGGUGGUGCCCAGACACAAAGGAAGUGGUGAAGGAUGGAAAAGAAAGGAAAAGUGUGUGCCUGUACUUAGACCAGUCAACCAUACUGCACCAAACUUCUAGGAAUCAGAGUAGGGCAAAGGUAAUGAGAAUGACACAGAUUAAUGACUAUGGAAUAAUGAAAGAAGCACAAUAAUUAGAUGCCAUGAGCAUAGAACAUCUUUUUUACUAUAGCAAUAUUAAUUUAAAAGGCAAAUUUGGUUAAACCCACAAUCAGAAUACUGAUUAGGACAGCAAGUACAAUUUCAGCUAGGAAGGGCUUGCCCACAUACUAUCUCAGUUUGGUACGUGACGAUAGAUUUCUUUGGCCCUGGAUUAAAGAUGAAUAUCAAUUGCUGGGGUUAUCUGACCCCACCAGUCUUUCCUGCCCAGAGCAGGGGGGCUGGACCUGAUGAUCUCAAGAGGUCCCUUCCAGCCCUAGCCUGUGAAUCUGUGAAUAUUUUGUUUUCCAAUUAAGACUGGCCAUGCAUGCACUAUUGCAGCUUUGUCUAGGGGACUUAAUAUGUCUUUCCUCUAAUUCUCCUAGCCCUUGUCUACAGUAAGGAAAAAAUAUUUUUUAAAUAUGUUCUAGUUAAUGUGUUAAAAUCCCAGUGCUGAAAAGGUAAGCUCUAAGUAUCACAUGUAUUAGUUGGCUGAGAUUAAACCCUUGACCCUCCCGUAGAAUUUCCCUGUACUAACAAACACGUUAAAGUUCAGCUUACUCUGUCCGCACUCUAACUUUAACAUGUUUUACCUAAUACGUAGUACAAACACAUUUUUUCCUAGUCAAAGGCAAGACCUUAGUGAGAAGUUGAAAAGGAAAUAAGCUAUAGUAUUUCUAAUUACCUCCAUGUGUCUGAAAGCUCCACACUACUUAGAACUAAUAAAACUGCAUAGAGUUCCUUUAAGACAUCUUCUGCAUCCAGCUGUAGGAUCUCAAUCCUGACACACUGGUAAUUGGAAAACAGAUGUUAUUCAGAAAAUUAGACCCUCAGCAGGUCACAUUUUCUGUUCCAUAGCUCAGAUCUACCAUCUCUUAAUACACAUUCUAAAAAGUAUUAAGGUUCAAUCAUGGAAGCACUGUAGGUGAAUGGCACUCCGAUGUGGGAUCCUAAUCGAAAUAACCAAGGAUUUAUUUUUUCUUCUUUUCUAUUUCAAAUUUUAUUUUUUUCUAUUUUUUGCUGCUGACAGCUCAGUCAACGACUUAAGGUAGUGCUAAUUUAUUUUCUGCAACAAACAGCUUUCAUCUUUCUAGAUACGUCCUAAAUUAAUAACAGAUUACACAGGGUGGAGUCAAAUAUUUCUCUACAAUUGUCAGGCUAUGUAAAUGUGCAUUAACCUGAAAUUUCACUUGUCCAGAACCCUAAGCAGAGAUCUCAAAAUGCUUAACAAAUCUUAAUGAUCUCAGCUGGUCUACACAUGGAGUUAUUCAGGCGCAGCUAGCCCUGAAUAAUUAAAUAUUGGGAAAUGUAUGCUGCAACAAGAAUGCCUUGUUCCUAGUUAGUCCUUAAGCUAAGGGUUUGUUAGGGAACAAACUGCAAAAUAAGCCAGGUUGUAAAUUUAAAAUGCAAGUGGUUUCAGCACUGAUUCCUUGUGUACGCUUCCACUGCACUGAGUGAUUGGGCGACUGGUGUGUCCCGAGUGUGGGAGGGCACCAGAUCACCGACGGGGGUGGGGGAGAGAAGAGGGAUCCUCCAGCGGCCAAUCGCGCACGAGUUUCACGGCUGGUGCUUCCAGGGGAUGCACGGCUGAUCUCGGGGUGUGCAUGCACCCGUGUGUACCCCCUAUGCGUCACCAGUGACUGAGUACCUUUGUGAAUAUUAGAUUCAUCCAUGGGCAAAGUGGAUUAAUCUGAAUUAUACAAAGGCACACGUAGGGUGGGAGAGAUGACCUGUAAUAGGAGCUAGUGUGGAGCAACCUUUCCGCAACAACUAUACCAUGAGAUUGCCCCACAUAGACAAGCCAAGAACGGGUUGUCCUAAACCACUUAACUAAAUCCAAGACUCAAUAUUUUGUUUUGUUUGCUGAGUAUUCAAACCAUUUUUAUUCUUUUUAGCCUUUUUAAAACACAUUUUUGUUUCCAAAUUAACAGUUGAUUUUUUUUUUCUUAAAUGUGAAAAUUAAACGUUUCUGCAUUUCCAAAACUAGCCUUUACAUUUAAAAUUGUCCAAACAAAAUAUUUCAACAUUUUCAAUACUUCCCCCAACUUUGGCUAGAACUACUCAAUUAAUUUGGCUUGGAUACAUAAAGUUUUGGUUCCUCCAAAACCUAAUUUUUGGCAAAUUUACUAUUUCCUCAAAAAAAAAAUCCCAGACCUUGUUAGUGGUACUAAGACCUCUGGGAUUGCAUCCCUGGUUCUUUGUGCUGAAACAAACUGCGUUGUCUUCUAUUUCAGAAUAAUUGUCCUUUUUGAGCUCUGUGGGGAUUUGUGGGAAGGCAUUGGAGGAAUAAUAUACAAAAAACUAGAACUCUUGGUUCCAAAAUGAUUGGAGGAAUAAUGGCACUUGUGUUGAGCUAGGCUGCAUACAUACUAUAAACUAAGCACGGUAAUGAUCAGUAGCUGAUAACCUGGGGUAAUUGUAGCCUCAGGCUAAAUCCCCUGAUGGGCCAGGCAAGUUGAGUUAAAGGUACUUCAGUGUUUAGCUGAAGGGAUUUUGUGUGUGGAUAGAUCACAAGCAAUAUCUGAAUUAACUUUGCAGCAAAGAGAAGCCUUUAAUGGCUUGCUGGAUGGCACCUAGUUGGUAGCAGAGUGAGGAAUACAAACCAGCAAUAAUGCUUUUCAGAUCUUUGCUCUAAUCGUUAGCCUACAUUCCUUCCCACUAUCUAGGUUUUUUUCCCAUAUAUAUAUAUAAUAUAUAUAUAUAUAUAAUAUAUAUAUAUAUAUAUAUAGUGCUUUUCUUUUGGAAGCAACUGAUACAAAUCUUCCUUCUUGGUGUCUGAGUGGUGGUUCUGAACCACUCCUGUGAACAGAAGGAAAACAGACUGCAGCAGACUGAGGAACAGGUUAGGAUACAGAAAAGAAGUAUUACUUCACACUGUAGCUGCAUUACCUAAAUGGGAAAAAUGUCAAAGCAUAACUGCAUCUUCCAUCUGCUGAAGACACAGCCCUUAUUUUUACUUAGAGGUAUUGUCUAUUGUAGCAAGGUUACCUUGCAACCUCUUGCAUGUAAGACCUUAAACAACGUUGAGUUUCUUGUGUCACCAGCUGCGGUGUCCAAUAGUUACUGAAUAUAAACUUGAGUGUCCACUUUCUCCAAGUCAAUGCCUCAAUAAUAUCUUUAAACAUAAUAGUCCCUGCCUGUUGGCUUGAUUUCUCAUGGGGAGGGAGACAGAACAUUUUGUGUUCUCUUAUCUUCUAUAGCGAUGAAACAGGAGGAGCGCCACAAUGCGAAACCAAAUCUACUGCUAUUAAUACAGCAUCCCAACGAUAGAGAAGAGAUCUGUUUAUUUACCAAAGGUAGAUAGAUGUCUGCCUCUGACCUUUCCACAGCCUCCGAGUUUCAGCUGGGAAUAGAGUCCUCAGAGCUGGGUGCUCUUUAGAUAAACUACAUUUCCAGAAAAGACAAAAAAGAACGUAUACAGGAAUAUCUUCAGGAAUAAAGAAUGUCACAGGCUGUGAAUAUUCAGAAGACAACCAGCCACCAGAGGGGUCCACGGUCACUUUUAUCGCCUGGGAUUACUUAAUCGUCCAGUAUGCAUCUUCGCUCCUUGCUAUUAGCCAAUGACAUAUUUGACUAGCUAUCACCAUGUUUAGGCCAGCUAAGGUAUUUAUUGAUUUGACUUUGACGCUGCCAUUCCCAAUAAUCAACAGUUCAGGUUCUCUUGCCAGAGCAGAAUGUGCUGAAGGUUCCACAACAUUUGAAAUAAAGGUGAAGGUAGAUGAGGAGUCUGUCCUUGCCUCCAGUAGGAUUUUUUCCUCUUCUCUAGAUGCCGCUAGGGAUGUGCUGGCAGAGCAGCUAGGGUAUUUCAGUACAGCUCCAGAGGCAGGACCUGGAUGCAUGUUGAAUGCCUCCGCUCAACACAAGUUAAAAUUAUUACCCGAUCACUGACCUGGGGUGUCAAAAGCAACCAGAUGUGCCACAUUACUCCCUUGUGCACUGUUGGCUAAAGACACUUGGUUAACCAUGCUAGCCCAGUGGGCCAUCUGGGCUGGUUGGAUGCUACUAAAACGUUUUGUAGAGAAGGAGGAGAAGCUACUUUCACUCCUGGUUCAUGAAGGAAGUACUUGAUUUAGGAUUGCAGUGAGAAGUUUGUUUGAGAUCUUCUUCCAUAACCGUUGCCCACCAAGUUCCAUGGCAAAGUAAGUGCUUGGUAACGUGCAGUUUAAUCAAUCUGAAUUAAAGUCUGUUUAUUGCGUUGGUUUGACUGGGUGCUAACACCGAGAGUUCCUUGCCCAUCAUUUAAAUCUGUUUCACUUAAUUUGCCAAUUACAUUAAUUUAAACAAGGGUUAAAGCCAUUUAAGCACAUGAGCAUGACAGACUUGCUCUGGUUUAACCAGCACGAGUUACAACUGAUUUAGUUAGGUGCAAUUUCUCUAGUACAGACAAGGGUGGACUAGGCUAAGUAUUUUCAGAAAAUCAGGUCUAGCUGUCAGUUUUAUGGUAAAACCAGCUACAAUGCACAUUCAUCUACAACACUGCAAAUCGCUUAUUUACAGUAGAAGGCCAUUUUAAUGUACGAUCUCUACCUUCACAAACACACUGAUUGUCAAAAGAAACUUCUUCCUCACUUGUCAGAGGGAGGUCUCUAACCACAAACUAGUAACACCAAAGGUUUUCCUGGCUCAGAUGUACAGACCCUCCCUCUCCCGUGGCAAGGCAGCAAGCCAGAAGACAAUAUAUUGAGUGGAUAUUCAUAAUGAGUUCUGCCUUGGUUCCACUUAAACCUAACACACAACUCUGUCACACUUGCGGGGAUGCCAAUGGUGAGGCAUUUUCAUUUUAGAACCACAGAUUUGACCUUGCCGUGGUGACAUUCCCAAACCAGUUCUUGUAAUAUUUUACACUUUUUUUUUUUUUUUUCAAUGUGACUUAAGAAACAUUUGUACUUGUACUCUGAGGAUCAAAAAAUGUGUUACAAAUUCAAAUUCUUCCACUGGAAGUGUCCCGGCUCUUUGGUCAUAAGUGUGAUCCCCUGCUUACAGAUGUGGAGGCUGAUUCCCCAGGGAGAGGUAAUUUGCCAAAAGGACACAAGGUGAGUAGGCAGGAGAGCUGGAAAUAAAAAAACAAAACCCAAAAAACCAGGAGUCCUGACUCCCAGCCCCUUCUCUCUAAAUGUUUUCCGUCUAUAAAUGAAAUCUCUUAAAUGGUGCUCUUCACUACGCUGAAACUUGUAAGGCCAAAAACCUGUCUUUCAUUACUCUAGAAGCUGCUUUAUACUUUUAGAGCAACUGGAUUAGUGAUGAGACAUCCCCUCAUGCUCUGACCCAUGUCACAGUUCAUAUUUUAUCCAGAUUUAUGUAAUGGGAUUUAGGAACCUCUUCUGAAUUUCCUGCUUAUGGUAGUUAAGACUACUGCCAUCUGCUUAAUCCCUUCAGUGACUUUAUAAUAUGUUUUGUGUCAUCAGAACUGUUGCUAUCUAGUCAAGUUUCCUACAGCGGUGGCUCCAACUGCACUCAUUGUUUCCUUGUGCUCAACUGUUUGCAUGUACCACUUGCAUGAGUUAUGACUUGUUUGUACGCACAAAACAAAACUUGGGAGCAUGGGCGUAUCGGAGGAGAAAGUUAUGUGAAGAACCUAUACAAAGGAAUCCACAGACCUGCAAGCUCCGGAGCUGGCAACGCAGAUUUAGCAGGUGAGUCAAAUGGGGCAAUAGAUGUAUAAUCAUAUAGAUCUGCCGACCAAAUUCCUGCAUGACAGGUGGCAGCCAUGGUCAUGAAGUCUAAUGUAGCCCAGAAGCUGCUAUAAGGGUUGCAAUAUGGCUCCACUACCACUCUGCAACUGGAUAGGGAGAAUUCCUCCCUUUGUCACAAGGAGCACCCUGCUCACAACUCUGGUGUUCAGGCUGCAGGAAUAAUGUUGAUUCUCAGUAAGAAACAGUAAUUUUGCACAGUUUUCCAUUUAACUAGUUCUGUAGUUUUAGAUACCCAAAUGGGAAGGCAUAUGGAAAGCUCCAGGAUGAGGACCAUGGAUGACAUUAUUUCUUGAACACAGUGGAACUUUCUACCAUGAGGCAAAAGCACAUUUAGGCAGAUGGAGUGUUUUUGGUGCCAGCCCAAGACUGGAACAAACUCCCACAGGACCAUCAUCAAUCUUCCUGCUUCUGUCUUCAGGUACCAGUGAAGCUUAUAGUGAAGAACUGGUGGUGCAGCUACGCCGUGUCCAGUGAGUCUCAGCCAGGACACUACAUUGCUUCCAGUAACUUUCCAGAGAUCUCCCCACAGAUUUAUGAAGCAUAUACGCUCUUCAGUGACAAAUGGAUUGCAAAACAAUGCUGCUUCUUCUGAAAAGAGACAAUGCACAUACCACUAGGCACCAAGACAUCCAAUAAAGUCCUCAAGUAAAACCAGACUUGACAUUCCUGCCAUUUCUAAGCAGGAUAAAAAACUACUAGCACUGCCUCUGUCCCAUGGUAGUCUCCAGAGAAUGAGUUGCAGGCCAUUUAUUUGGAUGGCAGAGAAGGAAUGAAAAUGGACAGAAACAGUAACAAGACCUGAUCUGAAAUAAAUCAUCCAGAAGUAAACAAGGCAAAAACUAACUGGAGAUGGCCAUGACUUUAGGUGGCAAUCGCAACUCCUUAAGGCAAAAAAUUAUAGACAUAUUGUAGGUAAAUUAUCCAUUAAAGAGCUUGCUUUCCUUGGAAGGAUAUUGCCACCUAGCAACAGUAGAGGGACCAAAAACCAUCUGCUGGUCAUUAGUGAAGUGAAAACCCCUGCAACUACCAAUACUCAUCCGUCAAUAAUUCUUGUAAGGAUCUUUGAUGGGUCAAACUGGAAGAACUUAAUUAUUAGACCAAAAGGAACACUCACUCACUUGUGCUGUGAUCACUGACUAAUGUUGUUUUAUUUCAAGAGGAGUAUAGGUAUAGUAUGGAUGGAUUAUUUUAUUUGAAUAAGAACAUGUUUUAAAAAAAACCCCAAAAACAAAAAACCUUGGAAGCGUUAACAAAAAAGUUUUGUUGCAUUUAAAAAUGACUGAUCAGUAACAUAAGAAGGUUUUGUCUAUAUGUGAAAAUCCAAGUGUGCCACUACAUUAUGCGUUUGAUGAUGUCAAUAUUGAAUAUGUAUGAGCUUGGAGGAAAUUCUUAACAAACAAUACAGAAAAUAAUAAGAAAACUGAUGAUAACAUCUGAGUCUUUUAUAUAACGUUUGUCACCAGUAGAUUUCAAAGCAUGUAAUGAAGGAGAAAUAUUCCAUUAUCCCUACUUCACAGAUGGGAAAACUAAAACACAGAGGCAUUUAAAUGACUUGUCUGGGGGCAUGAAGCAGGCCAGUGGUGGAAUCAGGAACAGAAGGAGCCAUAAUAAUAAUCAAGGAGCAGUCUUCAUCUGCUGUGCACUGGAUUUAACUACUUUUUCCAGCAUAAAGGCAUCCCAGUAUAUAGUUUGCCCAUGUUUUUUUCCUUAGAGCAGUGCAGUUACAGUACAAAAGCGCUCUGAAAACACCCCGACUGAAUUGUGUAGGGACACCAGAGAAUGGCAAGAGACAUGUGGAAUGUGUGUGUAGCAAAAUCACAGAAGAUCACAUUUCCAUUCCUUGGUUGUACAUCAGUUAUUAAAAACAAACAAAAAUAAUUCCAUUGAUUAGUUGGAGUCAAACAUAACUAUUUUAAGUGUGUCUAAGGUUAAGAUUAUCUUGUGAAACUGGGGUGGGCCUUUGCCCACAGGGUGGCUUUGUGCGUUCUAGCAACAACGGGGUAGUCUGGUUGUUGUCAGCACAUGGUUAUUAGCAUUUUGCCUUGUCAUAGUGCAAAGGGAUAUUUUUGAAACCCGUAUGAUGAACAUGUUAUGAAACUGUUCCAGAUAUUAUUUGGGGUGAAUGCACAAGAUGGAGAGCUGGGAGACCCCAGCUGGAAGAAAACAACUCCAACUAUUGUCAUGUCAGAAAAAUCUAAUAUUACUGUUUAUAUUUAAGUGCCAUUUAUCUCAAAGAAUGGCUAGAAAUUAAGCAAUCUCUAGUGCAGUGAAAGGCGUUUAUAUUUUUACAUUAUGUGGUUUGCUUACCUGAAGAAUUCCUGCAAGUCUUUCUUUCAGCCUGGGUUGAAAGAAAGCCUACAACUAAUUUGAAUUCCCAGUUUUAUUUAGGAAACAGGACAUAACCUCCUUCUGAGCAGUGGGUUUGUUUGCAUAGUGCUGUGUGACUGAGCUGGAAGGAGCUUACAUAGUCUAUGUGGUAUUGACUGAAGCCUCUGUUUGGGUAUAGAAAAUGCCUAAGAAGCUUUAUAAGAGUAAGCAAUUUUAUAUGGUUCCAUUUACCCAGGGAUUUUUCCUUUGGAGAAUCAGAACUUACUACACAAAGCCUGAGUGAAUUGCCUAUAUGCACAAAAUCUCCACAGAGUGGGAUGAGAUAGAAACCUGCCACCAGAGCCACUUUCUGGAUGUUACUGCUGUUUAUGGGAGUUCUCAGUGCAAGAAAGAUGUGUUUGCACUGUGUACUAUGCUAGCAUUUCUGUUGUUAAGGCUACAGGUUUGCAUACUAUCAACCUGGAACAAGCUGUAUGUAUGUCUUUGUCCACAAUGGAAUCAGAGCUGUUUAUGUAUGCUGGGGGCAGCUAAGUAAACUCUUUUAGCUCGAGUGGCAGUAGCCUGCGGUGCCUCUGGAGCAGGAUGAGGUGAGUCCUAUUCCCCAUAUUGCCAAGAAAGCCUGAGGGGCUACGUUGCACAGCAUGAUGAGAACUGUGACAUUCGAAGCAGCCAUGAACUUGUUACAGAAAUAAUACUGUGCUGGUGUAUAAUGCUUUCCAGCCAAUGAUCUCAAAUCACUUGGUAAACUUUAAUGAAACCAUCUCUGUGAGACACGUGUCACUAUCCCUCUUGUAUAAAGAUGAAACUGGGGCACAGAGGUACCAAGGGAGAAAUUUUUCACAGGCAUAAAUGACAGGUGGGUAACUAACAGGAAUUAGAUAUUUAUUUAUACAACAGAUCACGUAGGAAGUUUGCAGCAAGGUUAAAGAAGAGGAUUCAUCUCUUGGACCCUAGUUCUGGGCUAUUACCAAAUUACCAUCCUCCCCAACGGGGCCUAUUUCUAGUUGGUUUCCAGUUGGUGUCAGUUUUAGCAUAGACUACAUGAUUUUUCCAUACAGAGAAGCUGAGAUGGCUCUGGCAACUAUGCUGUUGGGAGUCUUUAGUGACAAGCCAGGUGACUACCAGAAGAGCAGACAAGCAAAAGAAGAAAUCUACUAAGCUAGACUGUCAUCCCUUGUCAGUGAGAUCAGAAUCUGGCCCACUGUCUCUCUCAUGCUGUCAAGGAGGGAAGCAGCUGCUCAGGGCAGGAACAAUGAUCCAGUUCUAGAAAUCUCCCAACUGCAACACUAUCCUUUGUAUUCACAGUCCUUGGGUCUCUGUUGUCGUGAAAUCCUACCUGGUGAUGAUAUAGCAAUACAUGCUGCCUAGCAAUAAAAAUGAUAAAGAAGUCA